rnacentral:rRNA from 1 species
GUUGACCUCGGAUCAGGUAGGGAUACCCGCUGAACUUAAGCAUAUCAAAAGCCGGAGGAA